rnacentral:rRNA from 1 species
GAUGAACGCUGGCGGCGUGCCUAAUACAUGCAAGUCGAGCGAACAGACGAGGAGCUUGCUCCUCUGACGUUAGCGGCGGACGGGUGAGUAACACGUGGAUAACCUACCUAUAAGACUGGGAUAACUUCGGGAAACCGGAGCUAAUACCGGAUAAUAUAUUGAACCGCAUGGUUCAAUAGUGAAAGACGGUUUUGCUGUCACUUAUAGAUGGAUCCGCGCCGCAUUAGCUAGUUGGUAAGGUAACGGCUUACCAAGGCAACGAUGCGUGGCCGACCUGAGAGAGUGGUCGGCCACCCUAGAGGGGGGACACGGUCAAGACGACUAAGGUAGGCAGCAGAAGGGAACGGGCCGCAGUGGGGGGGAAUAUGGCGGAACAACGGCGAGUGAGUUGUGAAAGUGUUCGGAUCGUAAUAGUCGGUUAUGAGGGAAAAACAAAUGUGUCAGUAACUAUACACGUAGUGACGGUACCGGAUCAAAAAGCCACGGAUAACUACGUG